rnacentral:rRNA from 1 species
AAAGCGUGCGCAGGCGGUUUUGUAAGUCUGUCGUGAAAUCCCCGGGCUCAACCUGGGAAUGGCGAUGGAGACUGCAAGGCUAGAAUCUGGCAGAGGGGGGUAGAAUUCCACGUGUAGCAGUGAAAUGCGUAGAGAUGUGGAGGAACACCGAUGGCGAAGGCAGCCCCCUGGGUCAAGAUUGACGCUCAUGCACGAAAGCGUGGGGAGCAAACAGGAUUAGAUACCCCAGU